rnacentral:rRNA from 1 species
GAUGAACGCUGGCGGCGUGCCUAAUACAUGCAAGUCGAGCGAACAGACGAGGAGCUUGCUCCUCUGACGUUAGCGGCGGACGGGUGAGUAACACGUGGAUAACCUACCUAUAAGACUGGGAUAACUUCGGGAAACCGGAGCUAAUACCGGAUAAUAUAUUGAAUCGCAUGGUUCAAUAGUGAAAGACGGUUUUGCUGUCACUUAUAGAUGGAUCCGCGCCGCAUUAGCUAGUUGGUAAGGUAAUGGAUUACGAAGGCGCUGAUGCGUAGCCGACCCGAGAGGGUGAUCGGCCGCACUGGAACUGGAACACGGUCCAGACUCCUACAGGAGGCAGCAGUAGGGAACCUUGCGCAAUGAGCGAAGGCCUGACGGAGCCGCGCCGCGUGAUGGAUAAAGGUCUUCGGAUCGUAAAACUCUGUUAUUAGGGAAGAACAAGUGUGUACGUAACUAUGCACGUCUUGACGGUACCUACUCAGAAAGCCACGGCUAACUACAUG